CCCUUAAAUGCAUGAGGUCAGUACCCAACAUCUAGACCAAGUGCCCCUUAUGUAAAAUUGCCCACUUAACACGAAAUGGAUACUUAUUUUCCGAUCAAACGCGCCGUUUUCCAGGAAAAGCUCAAAAUGUGGGUUUUUCUAUAUGUACCAUAUAUGGUACACUAUGCAUUGAUGUCAAAUAAGAGUGAACAUUUUUCGUACGUAAAUUUUAUUUCAUUUUAUUGGAAUGAAAGGAAAUUCAUGUACACAAAUAAGGUAAAUCAAUUUAGGUUGAAAAGGAAUACAAAUAAAAGUAAUAAAACUAAAAAUAUCUUAUAAAUACAUAUAUUAUUUUUUAUCAUUUUUAUGAUAUGCUACAAAACAAUUACGUUUAUCAUUUAAACAAAGAUGUACGUUACAUUUUUCACAUUUGAAAAUUGAACGGUGGUUUACGUUUCCGUCUCCAGCAUAGCAUUUUUCAUUUUUGCAUCUUCCACGACUUUGAACUACAGGAAAAUGAUCAAUACCGUCGAAACGUAAGUUCUGUGUUGGUCCAUAUUCUUGUUGGCGACGAGAAACUUGCGUGAGUGCUCCAGAUCGGUUUUUGUUCGCUUUCUUGGUUGCUGCCAUUUUUGUCAAUACAUGAGAUACUUCUAGACGGAACGCUUUUUGAGUCAUUGGGAUAUUGGAGUUUGCUCUUUUAAAAAGCAGCCACGCAUUGACCAUGCAAAUAUCCAGUAGGUGAUAAAAUAUCCUUAUAUACCAUUUUCUGCUUUUUAAUGAAAUUUUAUGGCGACCGAGGUGAGAAUCCAUCAGAUCUACACCUCCCAUAUGCAAAUUGUAGUCUUUAAUGAUUUGGGGGCAAGAUAUAGUUACUGCUUUCUUUUCCUUUUUAUCCCAACGUUGUGUAGUCGGAACUUCGAUGUCAUCGGCUUGUGAAUUGCGCACUGGUUUCGUUCCAACAAAAGUUGAAACCAGAUUAACCACCCGAUUAUCUUUCCAGGAUAAAGACGUUAUUGGUACGCUAUGUAUUGUAGUUAUGAACUCUGCUGAGACACCUCGAUUCAUCUUCAUCAUCACCUUUGUAUCCGGAAGCUUGCAAUUUUUUAUUCGAUUUCGAUUGAUGGUCCCAAUGCUGUGAAUACCUUGGGUCCGUAGAUAAAUCAAUAAGGGUAUGGAUGUGUAAUAAUUAUCCAUGUAUAGCAUAUAAUUUUGGAAACGGGGAACUCCGCGAGUCAUACGAACUACAAUAUUAGCGGAGACCUUCAAAUCUGGUUCGCCAGGCAGUAAAGAAUGUGCUUCUCCAGUAUAAAUUUCAAACUUGUACAUAAAACCGGAUACGUCACAAAGUGCAAAUAAUUUAAAUCCCCAUUUCUUGGGUUUGCUUGGGAGGUAUUGCUUCAUGAAAUGACCAACUUUAGUAGAACACAUCUGUUCGUCUAUCGAUAGACGAGAUUCCAUAGGAAUUGUUUGAAAACGAUCAUUCAGACAAUUCAGUACAGGUCUCAAUUUGAAUAAACGGUCAGGAUCUUCGGGGUUAUAUUCAUCAUUGUUAUUCAUGUGAAUAUAUUCCUUUAUCUUCUCAAACCUGUUCACUGUCAUUACGUUCCGUACAGCAUCAACUCCAUUUUGCCUAUUCCAAUAAUCUCGAACGCAAGGUAGUUUGUGAUAGGACAUAUAAUAUGUAAUGCCAAUAAAUUUUCUAAAAUCGAAAAUAUCAAACAUGAAAUUUUGGUCGUUUUUUUCCACUUUAGCGUAGUGAAUGGUCUCAUUUACUAUUUUUUCCAUUAGUUCGUCGGAAAAAAAAUAAUUAAAGCAACCAUAUGCAGUGGCGAACUCAUCUAAUGGAUCUGGCCUUAAAACUGAACUUCCAAGGAAAGAGAUUUGCUCUUCAUUCAACUCAUUCCUUGCGUAUAGCCUCUUCGGAACAAAAGCUUUCCAGUGGUACCGGUGUUGAUAAAACUAACCUUCUUUUUUUCGGAGGGGAUGGAAGUUCUUGGCGCACUAUAGAUAAAUCUACAGAGACGUACUCGUCCGGAGCAGUUAUACUAGAAGUUUGAAGCACUGACACAUUCACAUCAUCAUCAUUCAUCUCUUUUAAAAAUGAAUCACUAAUCGAAUCUUCAUCUAAUAACUCAUAGUCGAUCUCGGCUUGAUUUCUAACACGCUGCGGGUUUCGUGUUUCAUCUAUUAAUUCAUCCAAUGCAUCUGCAGAUUCUUCAUCAUCAAAAGAGACAUUUCCAUUUUUGGGUAUAUGUACCUCAUCCUCAAAAUCAUCACAUAGCAUAUUUGCUACUUCAUCCGCGUUAUACCUCUUUCCAUCAAUUGUACAUCCAUCCAUAUCUGUACAUAUACAUCUAUAUCAAACAGCAAGUACUGGAAAGGAUAUUUGGGUCGCAUGCAUGAAGUACCAUAUAUGGUACAUACGUAAAAAAGCAAAAAAGUUACAAAAAUUUAUCGUAUUUUAUCACAUUUGAUUUUAUUUAGCUAAAAUAAACUCUACUGUACUUACCUGUAAUAUAUAUUUCACAAACAAUGUAAUAAAUUAUAUUUUAAUGACGAAUGAAAA